AAGUCUUCAGUUAUUUAUGUGUGCUUGAUUUAAUUAUUCACAUUUCGAGCCUUAGUUUAAAUUAUUCUAUGAGCACAUGCUACCACUUGUCAUCUACCAUCAUGUCUUCCCAUGAUCACCAUGCUUCCUCCCUCACCUUACAUACGCCAUCUACUCCUUGUCAAAAUAAGCUGCCACCAACUCCCCUAAUUUCAGCGGUCAAACAUCUCUGCAUAAUUGAAGGAAACCCAUCCCUUGCACUUUCACUAGCAACUUAAAUAUCACACCUCUACACGUUAAUAUCUCCACAUCAGUCUGCUACCUCUCAAUUAUAUCACACCUCUUGUACUCUGUUUCAAACAAACACAUCUAAGAAGAUAUUUCGACCCACUGGACUUCAAGAAAUUCCAUCUCCUUGACUCACAGAAACUACCAAGCUCAACCACCACCUUAAGGCUUUAUGAACCAAGGGGAUUAGCGCUGCUUUCCCAAGACGAGUUUAUGUGAUUAUGAUCUUCAGGCUUUGCCUAUCCAGGUUGGCUGGCUGGUGCUGACGGGACGGAGCUGAGGCUAGAGUUAAAUUCCUAUGUUAGACUUCCGCUGUAGCAAUUACUCAUAUCAGUCUUUUGUUUUCCCAACUUAAGAUCUUUAUGUUAAAUUUCAAAUGAUAUACCUGACCGAGCUUAGACUCUUUACUAUUAAAUUUAUGCCAAUGAAUGUCGGUUGUCAGAAGCAUGAAACAAAACUUGUGAUCCAAAGGGGCAUAGCCCGACUUUCUAUCCU